AGACAGUGUCUUGCACUGUCACCUGGGCUGGAGUGCAGUGGCGCAGUCUCGGCUCACUGCAACCUCCACCUCCUGGGUUCAAGCGAUUCUCCUGCCUCAGCCUCCCAAGUAGCAGGGAUUACAGGCACCUGCCACCACACCUAGCUAAUUUUUUGUAUUUUUAGUAGAGACAGGGUUUCACUAUGUUGGCCAGGCUGGUCUCAAACUCCUGACCUCGUGAUCUGCCCGCUUCGGCCUCCCAAAGUGCUGGGAUUACAGGCAUAAGCCACCGCGCCCGGCUCCCCAAAGUCUUAUGUUUUAAACUUUUUGACAUUUCUUCUAAGAUGUCCAGAAUGCUAGUACCUGCACCUUAAUAAAUGUUUGUGAAUAAAUACAUUAUUGAAAUCUUAGGCAGGUGUGCCACAUAGCUUAAAUCUGAGACACUGUGUUCUUUAGUCAGAUCAUGCAUAUUCUUAGAAUAGUAACCUCAAAGGUUUAUACCCUUGCUACCUUUUUUAUAUUUUUUGUAGAGACAGGGUCUUGCUCUGUUUCUCAGACUUUUUGAACUCCUGGGCUUAAGCAGGCCUCCCACCUUGGCUUCCUAAAGUGCUGGGAUUACAGAUAUGAGCCACUGCGCCCAGUCCUGAUACUGUGGCUCAUUUUAAUUCUCACGUAGUAUUUAGUUUCAUUUUGCAGUUUGAAGAAAUAGGCCCAGAGAUGUUAAAGGGGCAGGCCCAGAACUUGAAUCCAGAUCUUGUGGUGAGAAAUUCUUGUUUUACUAUCACGUUGCUUUUUAAAGCCAGCCUGCUUUUUCCAGUUGGGAGGCCUCGGGGAGAAAAGUCUGACCCAAGUGAGAAACACCUGUAAUAUCUACCAGAUGCCAGCAGGGUGUCCCAUGGUGCUGUCUUUGAUCCAUGUUCUUACCCUGUGUGCUGAGGGUUGUUCUAGAGUAGGACUACAUCUAGUCACAGUGGCCAUGUUCCAGAGCCUGGCAGCAAGAAAGAGGGAUGCCUAGCUCCUUGGCUUUCCAGUGUGCAGUGCACAGCCAGCUCUCUCAGAGAAGCCCUGGCCCUCUUUUGACCCCUACUAUUGAGGCUGGCCCCACAGGAGGACAGCUGGUCACACAGUGGCUGGGGCCUGGCUAGCCACUCAAUAACUACACAGCAGCCCCACAAAAAAAUCAUAGAAAAGAACCUGUGAAAGGGUAAAUGUUUAAAACAUCUGCAUUUGUGUUGAUAGCUGAGUAUACACUUAAAUUUGUAUUAGUAACAGAUCCACAAAAAUGAACCACUCUAGGAAUUUUAAGUUUUAAAAGCCAAUGUGUGGUAACUUCCAGUUUCCAAUAAAAAUGUUUGCAUUACACUUAGCCUACACAUACUAUCUCUUAGGUAUCAGUUUUUGUAUUCAGCAACCCUAGUUGGUAAUCUACAGUGUCAAAACUAUCACUUAUAUGAAAACAAAUGAGCAAAUAGCCCUUUAAAAAUUUCCUUUCCCAGUGCUCGUUACGCACUUUGUACAAAUGUCUGUAACUGUUUUAUAAUUAUUUCUUUGCAAGGCUUGGUUUCUUCAGUAGAGAAGAUUCUUAGAAGUAUCCCCAGUGACAGUACAGCUCCUGGCAUUUAGUAGGUGCUCAGUAAUUAUUUUACUGAAAUACUCAUGCUUCCAUAAUAGUUCUGGGAUAAUUCUAAACACAAGCCAUUUUUCUAAGGAGAGUCCACAUUAGAGAGGUCUUUGUUUUGUAUUCAAGAUGAUUAAAAUUAUGAACUGGGAAGUUAGUCCCUGGGGUGUCCUGGCUGGCCUUUGGAAAUCUUCACUACAUCUUUCUGGGUUGGAAUUCUCACCACAGCCUGAACGUGGGGCUGUAUCUGAGCUGUCUCUGAGUGCUGUCCAUUUGAUAUAUCGAGUACUGGGUGUUUACCAGGGCUCUUCAAGCCACUGGGAGAAACAGCUAAAGAGUAACCUACUGAUUUGAGAUGUGGAUUUGUGCCCCAUCCCUUUCUCCUUGUUUCCCACAGGAGUUUUAUCUCAAACUCCUAAGCCAUUUUUAAGGAGAUCACUGGAACAAACUCCAAACCUACCCUCUAAUAGUCAAGUUUACCUGAAUUUUCUCAGUUCUCUCGGGAGAAGACUAAUCACACAUUGUAGUACCAACUUGGACUCUUCAUGUGCUUUUCUUAACUGAUUAGAGUUAACACCUCAGCUAAAGUGUAUAGAACAUACAUGGGGCUUCAUCAGGCUUCAGAAUCAGUUUCACUAGAUGUGCUAUGUAGGAGGCCACGGAAAAAUUACUGUAGUAGUAAAAGUUAUCAGUUCUGAUGUAAACAAUCAUUUUGUCCCAUAUUAUAAAUAAAUUGGCCUGAAAAUAUCUUUUCAUAUGUGAGGAAUAAGUAUAUGAUGCCUUUCUCCUUUAAAGUAUGAACUGCUAAAAGACAGGGAUAACGUGUAUUCUGUAUUCCAGCAGCCACAGUGUGUUUCUGGUCUUUGUACCAGGUGCUCAGGAAGUGUUUUCACUGGCUUGGGUUGACUACUUGCCAUCUGCUCUCUGAGCAUUCAUUUCUGAAUGAAAGGGGAGAAAGUGAAAGGAGAGGUGGGAAGAAAGAGGAAGCUGCAGAAAUACGAGGAAACAGCUGGAGGAGGGAGGUGAAGUUGAGGAGGUAAGGUCAGUAAAACAAAAAGCUAGCAGAGGGCAGGGUCAGGCCCUUGGGGUAGAGGGCUAAUUAACUUCUGUCAGCUAGUUGAAUAGAGCCUUGUGUGCUUUGUUAGAGACCAAAGGUACUUCAAAGGAAAAAAAUCUAGAUUCUUCCCUGUGUACCUUAAUAAUUGUUCAUCAGGUCAAAAUCUAUCCUGUCCUCUAGGAAUUCUGGUCUUCCCUCAGGCCUAGCAGAGAGCUUUCUGCCACUACUCAGGCAACCAAGGGUGAAGUGCUUCAAGUAGUAUUUGUGGACAGCAGCAGGUAAGCUUGAUGUGUUAUUCACAGCUUAAAGAGUAGAUGCUGAGUACAGCUGUUGUCCAUGUGUAGAGCUUUUAAUAACCAGCGCAGCAGGCCCCUUCACCUGCUUUUAUGCCUGGACCAGAUGACUGAAUGUAGAACUUUAGGCACUUUUUUUUUUUUUUGAGACGGAGUCUCGGUUUGUUGCCCAGGCUGGAGUGCAGUGGCGCAAUCUCGGCUCACUGCAAGCUCUGCCCCCCGGGUUCACGCCAUUCUCUUGCCUCAGCCUCCCAAGUAGCUGGGACUACAGACUCCCACCACCAUGCCCGGCUAAUUUUUAUAUUUUUUAGUAGAGACAGGGUUUCACCGUGUUAGCCAGGAUGGUCUCAAUCUCCUGACCUGGUGAUCCACCUGCCUUGGCCUCCCAAAGUGCUGGGAUUACAGGUGUGAGCCACCAGAUCGGCCCUUUAGGCACUUUCUACUUCUCAAGGUCAAGAAACAUCCUUUAAAAAGUUAAUUCCCUUUUCUGGAGCCUAAGCCAGAUCUUAUCUAGGCCUUGUGUUGCCAUCUGUUAGCAUUGAUUUCUGGAAUGGAGCAGCUUUCUCAAAGUUUGGUCUUGCUAGUCAUGAGGUCAUGUCAGUGUCUUAGGUCACUGCUGCUCACCUUCCUUACCCAGGGAGUAUACUGCAUAGGUUUCUGAACACCUGUUUUCAUUAUUCACUGUUCCUCUCACUGCCAAGAAUGGAGGGACCCUCAGUUGAAGAUCAAAUUGACUCUGAAGAAAAACUGGAGAUGUUUCUCUUGGAGUUUGGAUAGAGUAUUCACUUGAUAACAUGUUUUUCCCCUGCCUUGCUCUUCACAAGAACAUCUGGCCAGGCAUUAACAAUUAGUAAAUUUUUUUGCAUAUGAACAGUAUUUUUCUGGUCAUGUAGAUGGGUGCACAUGACACUAAACAGCAUUGUUUAGUGUUAUCCCUCUUAACUGGUGGGUUGUAUUUGGGGUGGAGGCUGUAGCCGAGGAGAAGACAUUCACCUCUGUACUCGAGAAACUUUGUGUAGGAAUUUAGUUUAUUUUUUUAUUUUUUUUAAUUUUUUAUUUUUUACUACUUUUACUGUUAGCACAAUGCUAUAAUUGAGCUAAUCUUUGUAGUUUGGUGCAGGACCACCAAGUUUGUGUGACCCAUUACCUACUUUUUCCAUGCUCAGCCAUUACCCUGUCCUGGGGCAUCUGAGGGCAGUAAGGAACAGGUGUCCAAAGGAGGAAUGUUGGUGCCUAUGAGUAUGUUUUCCAGUUGUAUUGAAUUUCUUACUUGGUGUAUUUUUGACUUGUCUUAGUUUCUUUCCUUGUGGUCUAUGCUAUUUUACUUGCGAUUUGUUGGAUAUUCUCCCUGUCAUUAAAGAGUUGUAAAAUGGAAGUUAGUUUCUCUAUGCAAAUGCUUUAAUGGAUGAAGCUGAUAGGUUUAGCAUUGAUUUUUGCUGGUGUCCUUCAACAAGCAUGAAGGUGAUAAAUGUGUUUCCAUGGCUUUAGACUCAUUUUUGAAGUCUUGGAUUGUGUGAACAUUCUUAGAAACAAUAAAAUGUUUUAAUUAAAAGCCCUCGACUACCAGCUGAAUUCAGUGUCUACUAGGAAAAUGGGUAGAUUUGUUACAUUGUCCCUUUGCUCUCUAUGACUUUGUUCCAGUUGUCAAGGAACUUAAAUGGGUAUUCAGGAAAAAGAAUUCUUGUUUCCCUUUCCUCACCUUGCCAGUUAAAUAACUCCUGGUGACACUUCAGGUGGUAGAAUUGAAACACAAACCUGACUUCUGACCACAUGGGUCAAAGGCAAAAGGCAAAUGGCUUCAAAGCCCUUAGUGUGCUUAUCCAGUUCAGGCAGUGAGGAGAUAACCUCUGCUUUCCUCCCUGAGGAGUUUGGAGUAUUUAAGGGGGGAUGGGGGGGGUGUCACUUUGAAAAUAUGUUGCUUUUUCUCCUGAUUGUAUUGAGGCUGAUAUGGAAGGGUUAUUUCUUUCUGGCCAAUACUUUUUGGUAUUUCUAAAUAUUGCAAUCUUGAUUUUUACUAUUAAAUUUGUUAAUUGUCAGUUCUGGCUUUUUUGCAUAAAGAGUUGGUCCAUUAACUUGCCAAUUUGAAGCUUCUAACUAGAUAUUCCCUACUGAAAGUUUUGGAUUUGUUUUUAGUUUGUGGAGCAGUCUUAGCUGGGGACAGGUAAUUGACAACGGCAGAGAUACUUUCUUUUCCUAGGAUUCUAAGUCUGUAAUCCACAUCCUCAAUGUAUUCACAGGACUUUAAAAUUCUCUCCAAAUGAGGAAGGAAAUAUCCUGUUGCUUUCUAAUGUUUACUAAAAGUUGUGUUUAGAACAACAGAUUUUAAUAGGCAUCUUCCUUUGUUAUGUGUCAUUAGCCCUUUGCCCGUUUACCUUAGGGCUCUUUGAAGGAGAAAUGGAUGGGAGAAAACCUGUCACUUGGCGAAAGUAAAAGGGAUAAUUAACUGGCUCAGAGCUUAUGUGCAGAGUUCCAAGCCCCAAAGUUAAUCUAGAACCACUCGAUAACACCAAUAAAAAUAUUUAUUUCACAUCUGUUAUAUAUCUGGAAAAUGUUCUAAGCAUCUUACACAUAUUUCUCAUUAAAUCCACAGGUGACCAUUGUGAGGUAGAUAUUUUGUUCUAAUUUUCCAGAUGAGGAAGCUGAGACCCUAAAAGGCUGACCGGUUCCCUGAUGUGUUACCUGCUUCUGCUACUGAUCCAAACUGCAGAACUUCUCAUUCAUCCCCAAGGCCUCCAGGCAGUAUCCAAUGGGGAAUCAGCUCUAAAAGGAACCAGACCAACGUUUUCCAGCCCCUUCAUUCUGGUGACUGAGGGGAGGAAAGAAUGGGAGGGGGUAUUCUUGUCUAGUGGAUGGAAAGGAAACACACUGUCAAAUUACUAUAUCUCCUUGGUUUUCUAUUACAGUAGAAUUCUCCAGCCAUAUUUUUAUUGUCUAUGGGGGAAGUUGGAGAUGGUGACCUUGAUUAGAAGUGUCUGGAGGGGGAUAAAUGGAGGGGAUAAGAUUCAGUUGGUUUUGGAAAAUGUUAAAGUCUUAAAAUAAUGCGUCCAUCUGAAGAAUUUUUUCUAAAACCAGAGUUUAUAAAAAUAUCACUGAUACAGCCUGCCCCCUCAUUUCCCUGCCACAGGAGAUGUCUUGGACUAGAGACACUUGUUUAAUAAUAGCUUGUCUCUGAUAUUCCCAGUAGCUUCCCUCUGUGUGAGGAAAGGAUAGAAAUGUUCAGGACAUCAUCAUACAGGCUCCUCAUCUACAAAGUUCCAGUAGCAGUGACGCCUACACGGAAGACUUGGAACUGCAAACAGGCUGGGGUCACCUCAGUGACAUCUGACGCUGUCCAACCAGAAGUUCGAUUUUUGUUCUGGGGGUGAAGGAGGAAACAGACUGUACUAAAGGACUAAAAUAAUUUGUCUAUACUA
rnacentral:lncRNA from 1 species